rnacentral:rRNA from 1 species
UCGACGGCAGCGGGGGGUAGCUUGCUACCCUGCCGGCGAGUGGCGGACGGGUGAGUAAUGCCUGGGGAGCUGCCCAAUCGAGGGGGAUACCAGUUGGAAACGACUGCUAAUACCGCAUACGCCCUGAGGGGGAAAGGUGGGGAUCUUCGGACCUACCGCGAUUGGAUGCACCCAGGUGGGAUUAGCUAGUUGGUGAGGUAACGGCUCACCAAGGCGACGAUCUCUAGCUGGUCUGAGAGGAUGACCAGCCACACUGGAACUGAGACACGGUCCAGACUCCUACGGGAGGCAGCAGUGGGGAAUAUUGCACAAUGGGGGAAACCCUGAUGCAGCCAUGCCGCGUGUGUGAAGAAGGCCUUCGGGUUGUAAAGCACUUUCAGUCAGGAGGAAAGGUGGCUAGCUAAUAUCUAGUUGCUGUGACGUUACUGACAGAAGAAGCACCGGCUAACUCCGUGCCAGCAGCCGCGGUAAUACGG